rnacentral:rRNA from 1 species
UACAGAGGGUGCAAGCGUUAAUCGGAAUUACUGGGUGUAAAGCGCACGUAGGCGGUUUUUUAAGUCAGAUGUGAAAGCCCCGGGCUCAACCUGGGAAUUGCAUUUGAAACUGGGAAACUAGAGUGUGUGAGAGGGGGGUAGAAUUCCAAGUGUAGCGGUGAAAUGCGUAGAGAUUUGGAGGAAUACCAGUGGCGAAGGCGGCCCCCUGGCACAACACUGACGCUCAGGUGCGAAAGCGUGGGGAGCAAACAGG